UACGUAGGGGGCAAGCGUUGUCCGGAAUUAUUGGGCGUAAAGAGCGCGUAGGCGGUCCGGUAAGUCGGAUGUGAAAGUCGGGGGCUCAACCCUCGGAUGCCGAUCGAUACUGUCGGGCUAGAGUCCGGAAGAGGCGAGUGGAAUUCCUGGUGUAGCGGUGAAAUGCGCAGAUAUCAGGAGGAACACCAAUGGCGAAGGCAGCUCGCUGGGACGGUACUGACGCUGAGGCGCGAAAGCGUGGGGAGCAAACAGG
rnacentral:rRNA from 1 species